UUAGUCACAAUAUUUACCUACUUUGCAAACCAAGAAAUUAAUAUUUCAAAACAGAUAUGACACAGAUAUUUCUUUCUGUUGGUUGACAAAACAAUCUCAGAAGAAGAAAAAACAAACCUCAAUCAAAGGAUUUUAAAACCCAAUUAUUUCAAAAACUGAAAAAUAUCAACUUCCUUUGACCACUAAUUGACCAUCUUUUGAAGAAAGAUACGAAAAGUAAAUGUUUAUCUAGACAUUUCUUUCGGUCUAGUAAUCAUGCCAAUUAUAAGACAGCUCCUUUUGAAUCCCUCAAAAAUAUAAGUGUGCAACAUUCAAAUUACGGAACUGUAUUAGGAUGUGCGAUCGUGCGUUAACAUUUUUCAUUCGAUCUCAAUUACCAUUUCCGAAAAGGAAGCGGAAAAAGAAUAUGUACAUAAAGAAUGGACUUAAAGAAACAGGCGGUAUACCUGAAGACAAUAUUGAGUGCAGGAACUUUAAAAAUUAUUUAAAUGAAGGAAACCAAUGUAGAUCAAUAGCAAAAGGGAUUAAAUAUAUUGAAUCUAUUUUCAUAUUUGCAUAAACCUCAGUAAAUCCUAUUGCCUUCCAAGGGAAAUCUACUUCUGAAAGGAAUUCACUACGAGUGUGUUAGUUGCGGAUUUCCACUAAACGUUCAAACAGGUAAAUUGAAGUCAUUGUUGAGUGAAGAGUCGUCAAUAUUUCUAAAUGAAAAAAUGAAUGCUCCAAAGACACCAAAACCAAGAUAAUUCGACUGUUCUUGUAGGCCAGUUGAACGGUAGAGGUCACUGAAGCUUUUCGGGAAAAUUGAGCUUAAACCAAAAGCGCCAUCUUGGAUUGAACGAAAACUAGUUUUAGUGAAUAACUUGUUGUA